rnacentral:rRNA from 1 species
GAUGAACGCUAGCGGCAGGCUUAAUACAUGCAAGUCGAGGGACAGCACAGGUAGCAAUACUGGGUGGUAACCGGCAAACGGGUGCGGAACACGUACACAACCUUCCUUUAAGUGGGGGAUAGCCCAGAGAAAUUUGGAUUAAUACCCCGUAAUAUAGUUGAAUGGCAUCAUUUGAUUAUUAUAGCUACGGCGCUUAAUGAUGGGUGUGCGGCUGAUUAGAUAGUUGGCGGGGUAACGGCCCACCAAGUCUACGAUCAGUAGCUGAUGUGAGAGCAUGAUCAGCCAAACGGGCACUGAGACACGGGCCCGACUCCUACGGGAGGCAGCAGUAAGGAAUAUUGGUCAAUGGACGCAAGUCUGAACCAGCCAUGCCGCGUGAAGGAUUAAGGUCCUCUGGAUUGUAAACUUCUUUUAUUUGGGACGAAAAAGGGCCUUUCUAGGUCGACUGACGGUACCAGAUGAAUAAGCACCGGCUAACUCCGUGCCAGCCGCCGCCGUAAAAC